CUGACAAAGAGUGGCGAACGGGUGAGUAACACGUGGGUAACCUACCUCUUAGCAGGGGAUAACAUUUGGAAACAAGUGCUAAUACCGUAUAAUACCAACAACCGCAUGGUUGUUGGUUGAAAGAUGGUUCUGCUAUCACUAAGAGAUGGACCCGCGGUGCAUUAGCUAGUUGGUAAGGUAACGGCUUACCAAGGCAAUGAUGCAUAGCCGAGUUGAGAGACUGAUCGGCCACAAUGGGACUGAGACACGGCCCAUACUCCUACGGGAGGCAGCAGUAGGGAAUCUUCCACAAUGGGCGCAAGCCUGAUGGAGCAACGCCGCGUGUGUGAUGAAGGGUUUCGGCUCGUAAAACACUGUUAUAAGAGAAGAACGGCACUGAGAGUAACUGUUCAGUGUGUGACGGUAUCUUACCAGAAAGGAACGGCUAAAUACGUGCCAGCAGCCGCGGUAAUACGUAUGUUCCAAGCGUUAUCCGGAUUUAUUGGGCGUAAAGCGAGCGCAGACGGUUAUUUAAGUCUGAAGUGAAAGCCCUCAGCUCAACUGAGGAAUGGCUUUGGAAACUGGAUGACUUGAGUGCAGUAGAGGAAAGUGGAACUCCAUGUGUAGCGGUGAAAUGCGUAGAUAUAUGGAAGAACACCAGUGGCGAAGGCGGCUUUCUGGACUGUAACUGACGUUGAGGCUCGAAAGUGUGGG
rnacentral:rRNA from 1 species